AGUAACAUCCACAUGGAUGGUAGGACCCAAGGUUUCCCAGCAGAACAUUGCCCAAAACAUCACACUGCCUCCGCCGGCUUGCCUUCUUCCCAUAGUGCAUCCUGGUGCCAUGUGUUCCCCAGGUAAGCGACACACGCACCCGGCCAGCCACGUGAUGUAAAAGAAAAUGUGAUUCAUCAGACCAGAACACCUUCUUCCAUUGCUCUGUGGUCCAGUUCCGAUGCUCACGUGCCCACUGUUGGUGCUUUCGGCGGUGGACAGGGGUCAGCAUGGACACCCUGACUGGUCUAUGGCUGUGAUGCACUGUGUAUUCUGACACCUUUCUAUCAGAACCAGUAUUCACUUCACCUGUCAGUGGUCAUAAUGUUAUGUCUGAUUGGUGUAUAUAUAGUCUCUCACAUUGUAGUCACUAUAGAAGGUUACCUAACUAUGACAACUUCCGCUUCUGAGAAACCCGGGAAUGUGAAAACGGUCCAGUUAAACUACACUCCUCGCAGCCUGGUUUUCAUUUCUUUGAAAAAAAAGAAAAGAAAAAAAAAAAAGUCUAUACUGACACUGCACAUCGUAAACACCUGCAUGCAUCAAGUGGUUUAAACCCUAACCAAGUUAACAUGACAGGAAAGACUUUAAACAAAUGCACUUGAAAUGCAGGCCUACUUGAGUUUAGUCAUUUCUAUUCUGUUGUGUUCUAUUUUAAAAAGCUCCUCAAACCGAACAAAUAUUUCAGGGGGAAACAAGAAACUGGUUAGCAUGGCCUAUUGCUGGUAGAUGCUGGUAACUACACCAUCUGACUCCAAAGAGAAAAAAAACAAGCAAAAAUACAAAUAAAGUAAAAGAACUGUGUCGACCACAGUGUGUUUUGUGCAGCAAAUUACUGACUGCAAAAAACAUCAUUAACGUUUAUUUAUAUAAUGGCAUGUAGGCUACAGUUGAAGAAAAUAUCAAAUUAGUGUUAUCAUGAGUCAUAUUGUUGUCUGUUACAGGUAUGAAAUAUGACUUUUUUUCAAAAAGUCAAAAAAUUAUAUAUAUUAUAAACAGAAUAAAACACUAUAGAUGUGUGGUCAGCAAGCUUGACUUUAACUUUCUCUCGAAGAUCCUUAAUGAAGAUCAUGUGCUUUUGAAAUUAAUAAAUUGAUUUAUGAUGUUUUAUAUAUAAUAAUAAUAAUCCAUAUUGUGUGCGUGUGAGGUGUUUAUGUCGCUGAUCUGCUCAUAUAGUGUGAAGCUGCAGAGACUUUAAUAGAUCAACAGAUUUGGGGCAAAAUGUGACUAUAACCUGUGAUUUUGAUGGACAAGAGGUUAACUGGUUAUUACUGAAACUACCAGAUUCUCUGGUUAUGAUAUUAAACACUUUUUCAUCUGCAGCUCCUCGUUGCUACAAUAAUAGAUUUAGACACAAAUAUUUAGUGCGAAGUAAACAUUGCCUGUUCAUAUUAUAUAAUGUCACUGUUGAUGAUUUAGGGCUUUAUUACUGUGUCCACAGACACACCUCCAAAAUACAGCAAUGGUACCAAACUACAUCAUUGGUGAGUUCAGUGAUCAUGUUAUUACACUUUCUUUUUUGAUAGAAUUGCAUUUGUUUCUCUUCUGUAAAAAAUAAAUAAUAAAAUAAAAAAUAAAAGUGUUCUUGGAAGGAAGAAAACCAGAGACAAACAAUUUCAAAAUACAAACCAACAGCAACUUCAAGUUAUGGAUCUUAAACAACCUCAAGACUCAAGCCUAGUGCAGUACACAAAAGAGGAUAUUCUGAAGAAUACUGUUUUUAUCCAUACAAUAAAAGACAAUGCAUGGGGUCCAAAAACAACAUUGGACCCCAUUAACUUUCAUGAGCAAAAAAUAAAUAAAUAAAUCUUCUUUUAUAUUCCACAGACAAUGUCUCUGAGAGUGUAGAAUUGUAUUAAUUCAUAAAAUCAGUCCAUAUAACUUUGCAUUCUGUUUACAUGGUAUAUUGUUUUCCUGUUGCUUUACACUGUGGUGGACUUUCUACACCAUGGUGAAGGUUUCAGUCCAGCCAAGUCAACAACACCUAUACACUUGUACAGCUGCUGAAAUCAAGCUGAAGAAAUCACACUUGACCCCAUUUAGUUUAAUUUCUCAUUGUAUUUGACAAAAUGUAAUUUAUCAGGCAUUGUAUACAUAUAGUUUUUUUUUUUUGAGCUUGCAGAAUGAACAAUUACAUGCCAAAAAUAACUGCUGCUAUUAUUGUGCAUUGGAUACAUAUACAUGUGAUUUCUGUUUGAUUAAAAAAAUGUUGGGUUUUUAGACGCGUUUUAAACUGGAACCCAAACAGCAAAACCCCAAAACAUAUAUUUGUCAGACACGCCAGGCUCUACCAUCACCCAACCACAGCGCACGUCAUCACCCGAGUUCUAAUCACGCAUGCCUGCAUCCCAUCAGCACAGUCAUCAACAGCAGCACAAAAGGCACACGCACUCACACAGUCACUGUCCGGUCUCGUUUGCACAUUGUCUUACCUGUAAGCUUACCUCAAGGACUCCUUCCAAGAUACUUACCUGGUCUCCAGCGUGUUCCCAAGUCUCCUUUGUUGUUCCUCGUCUCGUGUGAGUUCCUCAGUGUCUUCUCAGCUCCAGUCUGUCAUCUGCCUGCGAUAUCUGCAAGAGAAAAGACAAGUAUCACUCCAGUAUCCAUAUCUGCCACCUGUCAUAUCUGCCAUCUCUUACCUGCACUCUGUAUAUGCUCCUGGUUGUUCAAUAAACUAUGUUACCUGCA